rnacentral:rRNA from 1 species
CCUACGGGGAGCAGCAGUGAGGAAUAUUGGUCAAUGGGCGUAAGCCUGAACCAGCCAAGUCGCGUGAGGGAUGAAGGUUCUAUGGAUCGUAAACCUCUUUUAUAAGGGAAUAAAGUGCGGGACGUGUCCCGUUUUGUAUGUACCUUAUGAAUAAGGAUCGGCUAACUCCGUGCCAGCAGCCGCGGUAAUACGGAGGAUCCGAGCGUUAUCCGGAUUUAUGUGGUUUAAAGGGUGCGUAGGCGGCCUUUUAAGUCAGCGGUGAAAGUCUGUGGCUCAACCAUAGAAUUGCCGUUGAAACUGGGAGGCUUGAGUAUGUUUGAGGCAGGCGGAAUGCGUGGUGUAGCGGUGAAAUGCUUAGAUAUCACGCAGAACCCCGAUUGCGAAGGCAGCCUACCAAGCCAUGACUGACGCUGAUGCACGAAAGCGUGGGGAUCAAACAGGAUUAGAUACCCUUGUAGUC